rnacentral:rRNA from 1 species
CAUGCACGUCUAAGUACUCGCCUUGGUCUAUUUAAAGUGAAACCGCGAAUGGCUCAUUAAAUCAGUUAUGGUUCACUGGACCGUACCACAUCCUACUCGGAUAACUGUGGUAAUUCUAGAGCUAAUACAUGCAACUAGGCCCUGCCCGGCCGCUCCGUCCGUCAAAACGACGGUCGGUCGGAAAGGGCGCCAUUAUCAGCUCAAAACCGACCGGGUCGCCCGCCGUCCUCUGGACGGGCAGGGCUCCCGUUCUUGUUGACCCUUUGACGACUCUGGAUAACCUCCUAGCGGAUCGCCGGUCAAACUUAGGUCGGCCGGGUGUUUCGGCAUCCGCGCCCGACCUAACGGCGACUGGUCUUUCGAAUGUCUGCCUUAUCAACUGUCGACGGUAGGUUAGACGCCUACCGUGGUCGUAACGGGUGACGGGGAAUCAGGGUUCGAUUCCGGAGAGGGAGCCUGAGAAACGGCUACCACAUCCAAGGAAGGCAGCAGGCACGCAAAUUACCCAAUCCCCGAACGGGGAGGUAGUGACGAAAAAUAACGAUACGGGACUCUUAACGAGGCCUCGUAAUCGGAAUGAGUCCGCUCUAAAUCCUUUUAACGAGGAUCUAUCGGAGGGCAAGUCUGGUGCCAGCAGCCGCGGUAAUUCCAGCUCCGAUAGCGUAUAUUAAAGUUGCUGCGGUUAAAAAGCUCGUAGUUGGAUUUGGGUUUUCGGGCCGGCGGGCCGCCGCCUUCGAGCGGCGCGUCUCCCGCCGCGCCCCCGGAACCGCACGGUCGCAGAGGCCCCCGCGGUGCUCUUGAGUGAGUGUCCGCCGGUUCGGGUCGCCGAACGUUUACUUUGAAAAAAUUAGAGUGCUCCAGGCAGGCCGGUAAAGCGUUGUUUAAAAAAGACCCGCGCCUGAAUAGUCACGCAUGGAAUAAUGAAAGAGGACCGGUGGUCCUAUUUUGUUGGUUUUCGGGAUUUUCCGCCGUCAUGAUUAAGAGGGACGGCCGGGGGCAUUCGUACCGCGGCGCGAGAGGUGAAAUUCUAGGACCGCCGCGAGACGAACCGUUGCGAAAGC